UCUGUUGGAGGAGGAAGGUCACAAUCAUCAUCAAGCGGUCAAUACAGCAAUUCACAGAAGUCAAAUUCUUGGGAUAGUUGGGGAGAGAAUGAGAAUAGGAAGACAGAAGCAGCAGCUCCAAAGGGGUCAUCAGCUUCUAAUGAUGAUGAUGGCUGGACUGGUUGGGAUGAUCAUGAUGCCAAAGAUGAUGGGUUCGAUGGUCAUUACCAAAGUGCAGGCGAUCAGAAAUCUGUUGGUCACAACGGGAAAUCAGACACCGCUUGGACUGGUGGAGGUUUUCUCUAAGGGUGAUUCAAAAAUGCUGGCGACAGUGUAUAAUUAAUUAAGGCUGGGACCGUCGUGGUCUGAAUAUAAAGAUAAGAUUGAACUUCAUCUUAAAACCA